rnacentral:rRNA from 1 species
UGGGGAAUAUUGCACAAUGGGCGCAAGCCUGAUGCAGCCAUGCCGCGUGUGUGAAGAAGGCCUUCGGGUUGUAAAGCACUUUCAGCGAGGAGGAAGGUGGUGAGCUUAAUACGCUCAUCAAUUGACGUUACUCGCAGAAGAAGCACCGGCUAACUCCGUGCCAGCAGCCGCGGUAAUACGGAGGGUGCAAGCGUUAAUCGGAAUUACUGGGCGUAAAGCGCACGCAGGCGGUUUGUUAAGUCAGAUGUGAAAUCCCCGGGCUCAACCUGGGAACUGCAUUUGAAGCUGGCAAGCUAGAGUCUCGUAGAGGGGGGUAGAAUUCCAGGUGUAGCGGUGAAAUGCGUAGAGAUCUGGAGGAAUACCGGUGGCGAAGGCGGCCCCCUGGACGAAGACUGACGCUCAGGUGCGAAAGCGUGGGGCAGCAAACAGGAUUAGAUACCCUGGUAGUCCACGCUGUAAACGAUGUCGAUUUUGGAGGUUGUGCCCUUGAGGCGUGGCUUCCGGAGCUAACGCGUUAAAUCGACCGCCUGGGGAG